rnacentral:rRNA from 1 species
AAUAGCUCAAAUUUGAAAGCUGGCACCUUCGGUGUCCGCGUUGUAAUUUGUAGAGGAUGCUUCGGCGAGGACUCCUGCCUAAGUUCCCUGGAAUGGGACGUCACAGAGGGUGAGAAUCCCGUAUGUGGCGGGCGGUCCAAGCCAUGUGAAGCUCCUUCGACGAGUCGAGUUGUUUGGGAAUGCAGCUCUAAAUGGGAGGUAAAUUUCUUCUAAAGCUAAAUACCGGCCAGAGACCGAUAGCGCACAAGUAGAGUGAUCGAAAGAUGAAAAGCACUUUGGAAAGAGAGUUAAAAAGUACGUGAAAUUGUUGAAAGGGAAGCGCUUGCAACCAGACUCGCUCGCAGUUGCUCAGCCCGCCUCUUGGUGGGUGUACUCUUCUGCGAUCGGGCCAGCAUCAGUUCGGGCGGCUGGAUAAAGGUGUCGGGAAUGUAGCACCCUUCGGGGUGUGUUAUAGCCCGGCGCGGAAUGCAGCCAGCCUGGACUGAGGAUCUCGCUUCGGCAAGGAUGCUGGCGUAAUGGUUGUAAGCGGCCCGUCUUGAAACACGGACCAAGGAGUCUAACAUCUAUGCGAGUGUUUGGGUGUCAAACCCAUGCGCGUAAUGAAAGUGAACGGAGGUGGGAACCCGUAAGGGCGCACCAUCGACCGAUCCUGAUGUCUUCGGAUGGAUUUGAGUAAGAGCAUAGCUGUUGGGACCCGAAAGAUGGUGAACUAUGCCUGAAUAGGGUGAAGCCAGAGGAAACUCUGGUGGAGGCUCGCAGCGGUUCUGACGUGCAAAUCGAUCGUCAAACUUGGGUAUAG